rnacentral:lncRNA from 1 species
UUGCUGGAUCAUAUGGUCGUCCUAUAUUUAGUUUUCUGAGGAACCGCCAUACUGUUUUCCAUAGUAAUUUUACCAAUUUGCAUUCCCACCAACAAUGAAGGAAAGUUCCCUUUGUUCCACAUCAUCUCCAGCAUUUGCUAUUUGUAGACUUAUUAAUUAUGACCAGUCUGAUUGUUGUGAGGUGGUAUCUCAUUACAGUUUUGAUUUGCAUUUCUCUAAUAAUUAGUGAUGAUGAGCAUAUUUUCAUGUGCUUGUCGGCCAUCUGAAUGUCUUUUGAGAAAUGUCUGUUUAGAUCUUCUGCCCAUUUUUUGUUUAGGUUGACUGUUUUGUUCUUGUUGAAUUGUAUGAGUUGUUUGUCUAUUUUGGAGAUUAAGCCCUUGUAGGUUGCAUUGUUUGCAAUCUUUUUCUCCCAUUUCACAGAUUAUCUUUCCUUUCUUUUUUUUUUUUUUUUUUUGAAUGGUUUCCUUUGCUGUGCAGAAGCUUGUAAGUUUGAUUAGGUUCCAUUUAUUUAUUUUUGUUUUUAUUUUCUAUUGCCUUGAGACAUUGACCUAAGAAAACAUGUGUAUGAUUUUUGUCAGAGCAUUUUUGCCUAUGUUCUCUUCUGGGAGUUUUAUGGUGUCAGGUCUUAUGUUUAAGUCUUAGAGCCAUUUUGAAUUUAUUUUGGUACAUGAUGUGAGGGUGGAAAAACACAGGUUUUUCUUCAAGCAACUCAGUCAAGUAUGGGAAAGAAAGAGACAAACAAUAAGGAAAUUACUUUUAAGACUUUCAUGGGGAAUAGGUAAGUACAAUGGGAGGCCUGCCAAAGAAACACAGAAAGGUCUGGGGAGUCAUGAAGGGCUUCACUGAAGACUGUUGAAAUAACUUUCUUGGCUCAAGAUGGGGGGGCUAAGCGCAACAUGGCACCUCUUCUGUGAUCUACAGGCAAUGGGAACAAACCACAGCAGUCAUCUUAGAAACAAGAGGGGUGCUUGGCCUGCCACCAUUGAGGGGUCUGUGAACAGACUCCACCUGUAGCCCCAGUCACCUCAGAGAUUGGCAAAAAAAAAAAAAGAGGGCACUGCAACUGAGCACCACCUGUUAAUGCUCUCACUCCCCUGGGAACACACUUGCCCUGCUGCUGCCAGUGCCAAAUGCUCUCUAGGUAGCACGCAUAUAUGCUUGACAGUAUCACUUCCCAGGACUCUGCAAAUAGGAGCAGCCUAGGCAGCACCUCCUGCAUGGGCUAGUGGGACAGGGUGCUUCUUGCCUGGUCUACAGGUGGUGGGGGCAAAGCACUGCAGUUAUUUAUCUCUGACUCCAGCGGUGGGCUUGGCCUGCCACCACUAGGGAUCUGUGAACAGGAACCACUUGUGGCCCAAAUCAUCUCAGAGGGCACCACAGAGGAGGUCACUGUUACCAAACACCAUCUGUUGUUGCUCUCACACCCCUGGGAACUCACACACCCUGCCACUGCCACUGGAAAAUGUUCUUGGCACUGCCUAAAUCUGCCUGAGGCUCAUUACCACUUCCCAGGGCCUUGCAACAAGGAGUAGUCUGCACCAACUUCCUACAGUUCCUUGCUACUGUCAAGAGCCCAGCAACCAGGCACUGACUGCUAGCUCUGCUCAUUGCCUCCUUCUCCCUGGAAACACACUCAGCACCCUAUCAAAGGGAUAUAUAACUCACACUGAAGAAAGAGACAGCAAAUAUCCAAACUUUCAUGCCCAAAAUAAAUAAUACCCCCUCACAAAAUACAAAGGGGUGCUCUUGCAUAGAAAUAGCCCUCUAACAUUAAAGUACUUGGUUUCCCUAAACUCACAGGAAAAGGAAAAUACAAGCAAAAUGAAGAACUUCAGGAACCAUUCCCAGUUAAAAGAACAGGAAAAAUUACCCAAAGCAGCAAACAAUGAAACAGACCUCUGUAGUCUAAUAGACACUCAGUUUAAAAGGGACAUAAUGAAAAUACUCAAGGAAUUACUGGUGAAUAUGAAGGAAUUAAGAGUGGAUAUAAACAAUAAUGCAGAUUACUCUAGGAAGGAACUAGAAAAUAUAAGGAUGAGCCAAGAAAAAUUACAAAAUUCAUUUUCAGAGACACAAACUGAGUCAAAGGCACAAAAGAGCAGAAUGAAAAAUGCAGAGGAAUGAAUUAGUGAGUGGAAGAUAGAAUAAUGGAAAUCACCCAAUCAGGACAUCAAAUAGAAAGUGAAAUGAAAAAACAUAGAGGCAGUAUAAGAAAUCUAUGGGAUAAUAUAAAGCAGGCCAAACUAUACAUAAUAGGGAUCCCAGAAGGAGAAAAAAAGAAAAGGGGAUUGAAAAUAUAUUAGAAGAAAUUAUGUCUGAAAACUUUUCAAAUCUAAAGGAAACAUAUCAAUAUACAGGGAGCACAGAGGGCCCCAAAAAAGUUGAACCCAAACAGGCACACACCAAGAUAUAUUAUAAUAAAAAUGGCAAAAGUUAAAGAGAGGAUUCUAAAGGCAGCAAAAGAAAAACAAAGCAUUAAUUAUAAGGGAACCCCCAUAGGGCUAUCGGCUGAUUUCUCUACAGAAACACUACAGACCAGAAGGAGUGUAAGAUAUAUUCAACGUUCUAAAAGGGAAAAAUUUGCAGCUAGGAUACUCUACCCAGCAAGAAUAUCAUUUAAAAUAAAAAGAAAAAUAAGGAAUUUCUCCACAAACAAAAACUGAAAGAGUACAGCAAUACUAAAUCCAUUCUAUGAGAAAUACUGAAAGGGCUUCUCUAAAUGAGAAAGAAGUAAGAAUAAAUAGGAUGGAGGAGAUCACAAUUGGAAAACAAUCACUUAAAUAAGCCAAUAUACAGAUCUAAAAGGAAAAAAAAAACACUAUUGUAAACAUGGUGAUAAACACAAGGAACAGCAAAAGUACGAACAUGAAGAUAUUAAAAAAGGACUUCACAAUCAUAGAAUGUGGGGAAGGAAAGUAAGAAAAUCUAGAAUUUUUUUUUUUUUUUUAGAAUGUGUUUGAGCCUAUAUGACUAUCAGGCUAAAGCAAGUAGAUAUAGGAAGGGGUUGACAUACAAAAAGGCAACCACAAAUCAAAACCAAACAUUACAUUCACAAAAACUAAAAAGAAAAGGACACAAGCAUAAAAUAAAAGGAA